rnacentral:tRNA from 1 species
GGGGAUAUAAUUCAAUUGAUAGAAUAUAUGUUUUGCACACAUAAAGUUGUUGGUUCGAGUCCAACUAUCUCCA